AUUGAACGCUGGCGGCAGGCCUAACACAUGCAAGUCGAGCGAGCGGCGGACGGGUGCGUAAUGUAUGGGGACUGCCCGAUAGAGGGGGAUAACUACUGGAAACGGUGGCUAAUACCGCAUACUAUCGGAUAACCCAUAUGGGAUUAGCUAGUAGGUGGGGUAAAGGCUCACCUGGGCGACGAUCUCUAGCUGGUCUGAGAGGAUGAUCAGCCACACCGGGACUGUGACACGGCCCCGACUCCUACGGAGGCAGCAGUGGGGAAUAUUGCACAAUGGGCGCAAGCCUGAUGCAGCCAUGCCGCGUGUAUGACGAUGGCCUUAGGGUUGUAAAGUACUUUCAGCGGGGAGGCGUUACCCGCAGAAGAAGCACCGGCUAACUCCGUGCCAGCAGCCGCGGUAAUUC
rnacentral:rRNA from 1 species